rnacentral:rRNA from 1 species
GACGAACGCUGGCGGCGUGCUUAACACAUGCAAGUCGAACGGAAAGGCCCUGCUUUUGUGGGGUGCUCGAGUGGCGAACGGGUGAGUAACACGUGAGUAACCUGCCCUUGACUUUGGGAUAACUUCAGGAAACUGGGGCUAAUACCGGAUAGGAGCUCCUGCUGCAUGGUGGGGGUUGGAAAGUUUCGGCGGUUGGGGAUGGACUGGCGGCUUAUCAGCUUGUUGGUGGGGUAGUGGCUUACCAAGGCUUUGACGGGUAGCCGGCCUGAGAGGGUGACCGGCCACCAUGGGACUGAGAGAGGGCCCAGACUCCUACGGGAGGCAGCAGUGGGGAAUAUUGCACAAUAGGCGGAAGCCUAAUGCAGCAACGCCGCGUGCGGGAUGACGGCCUUCGGGUUGUAAACCGCUUUCGCCUGUGACGAAGCGUGAGUGACGGUAAUGGGUAAAGAAGCACCGGCUAACUACGUG